rnacentral:rRNA from 1 species
AGUGAACGCUGGCGGUAGGCCUAACACAUGCAAGUCGAACGGCAGCACAGUAAGAGCUUGCUCUUACGGGUGGCGAGUGGCGGACGGGUGCGGAAUACAUCGGAAUCUACUUUUUCGUGGGGGAUAACGCAGGGAAACUUACGCUAAUACCGCAUACGACCUACGUGUUGAAGCAGGGGAUCUUCGGCCCUUGCGCGAUUGUAUGAGCCGAUGUCGGAUUAGCUAGUUGGCGGGGUAAAGGCCCACCAAGGCGACGAUCCGUAGCUGGUCUGAGAGGAUGAUCAGCCACACUGGAACUGAGACACGGUCCAGACUCCUACGGGAGGCAGCAGUGGGGAAUAUUGGACAAUGGGCGCAAGCCUGAUCCAGCCAUACCGCGUGGGUGAAGAAGGCCUUCGGGUUGUAAAGCCCUUUUGUUGGGAAAGAAAAGCAGCAGGUUAAUACCCCGCUGUUCUGACGGUACCCAAAGAAUAAGCACCGGCUAACUUCGUG